rnacentral:lncRNA from 1 species
CAGGUUAGAAAAUACGAAAAACCGAUUUGGAGGAAGGAAGGAAUAAGAACCAAACAAAAAGAAAGGAAACAGGAAAUCCAAAGUGGGUCCUGCCAAUGCUGAGUGUUAUUUAUACAAGAAAAUGAUGUAAGUUUGAAACUCCAGAACAGAGAAAGAGAAAAAUGUGAAUUUUAUCAUUGGCCUCCUUUUUACCCUUAGCUGCUCUGGUGUUGUCUGGGACCACCACCCGGCAGGAGAAACUGUAAGCUGAAUCUGAUCUUUCGAUACAUGCAGCAAUGAACUUCAUAAUUAGCCCACGAUCAUGGUCUCCUCUUCCUGGAAAUUGCAAUCUACUUUAUUUUUCCAAUCAAGGAACGUCUGGUGCAGUUUUGAAAGGUUGCUAAGGAAAGGUUUUCAAAAGGUGCUACAGUGCAUGUAAUGUCUUUAUUCUCUUCUUCAUGGAAAAUUCAAACCUUUAUCUUAAACGUGAAAGCCUCAGAAGGUUUUGAUUUUCCUUCACCUUUGCGGAUUCUGCUGCUGGGGGUCACGUUCUCUCGUGGGCAACAGUGGGCUCGUGACAGUGGCCCAUGGGCUUCUCUAAUUGGAGAAAAAUAAAGCUGCUUCCCUGACGUCCAUGCCUCUCCUACAUCCAUCUGCCAAUCAUGAUUCUAACUCCAGCUGCUUCCCAGCUCUUCCCUCUUUGGCCUGUUCCAUGUCCACACUCAUCUUAUGACUGGAGUCUUGCAAUAACGUCUGAAUUCUCCAGCUCCCCAACAUCCCACUCCCCAUACAACAGCUACAGUGACCCUUUCAAAACGACUUCCUAUUGUAUUUAAUGACCUGACUUCCUGCUCUCUCGCCCCUAUCUUCCUACCACUCCUUGUCUUGUUCAAUGCACUCAAUGAUGCCCAUCUUCUUACUAAUCCUCAGUGAUGCAAAGUGCAUGCCAUCUCGAGGCCUUUGCACUAGCUGUUCCCACUCCCUGGAAUAUUCUUCUUCCACAUGAAAGUCAGUCCCUCAUUUCUUUCAGAUUUCUGCUCUGUAUCACCUCUUCAAAAAUGCUUUCCCUGGGGAAGGUGCUGGGGAGAGAUUGAGCAAAUCAUAUCAUGUACUGUAUGAGUACAGAUUAAUGAAUACACUAUGAUUAUGUCUAACUCUAAUGCACUAAUAAAAAUUUUUAAAAAUGUUCUCCCUCACUCCCUCAUCCAAGUCAGAUUAAUCUCCCAGUCACUGUCUAUCACCUUUCCUCUGGAUUUUCUUCUGUCAUCAC